UACGUAGGUGACAAGCGUUGUCCGGAUUUACUGGGCGUAAAGGGUGCGUAGGCGGGUCUUUAAGUCAGGGGUGAAAUCCUGGAGCUCAACUCCAGAACUGCCUUUGAUACUGAAGAUCUUGAGUUCGGGAGAGGUGAGUGGAACUGCGAGUGUAGAGGUGGAAUUCGUAGAUAUUCGCAAGAACACCAGUGGCGAAGGCGGCUCACUGGCCCGAUACUGACGCUGAGGCACGAAAGCGUGGGGAGCAAACAGGG
rnacentral:rRNA from 1 species